UACGUAGGGUGCGAGCGUUGUCCGGAAUUAUUGGGCGUAAAGAGCUUGUAGGCGGUCUGUCGCGUCUGCUGUGAAAAUCCGGGGCUCAACCCCGGACUUGCAGUGGGUACGGGCAGACUAGAGUGUGGUAGGGGAGACUGGAAUUCCUGGUGUAGCGGUGAAAUGCGCAGAUAUCAGGAGGAACACCGAUUGCGAAGGCAGCUCGCUGGGACGUCACUGACGCUGAGACGCGAAAGCGUGGGGAGCAAACAGG
rnacentral:rRNA from 1 species